UGACAGAGAGGCUGUUUGCCUUUUAAUGUAUGUUUGUAUGACUCAUACUUGUUACAUUUUUCAAACAGGUCAUCACAGAAGCCACAGACACAGAAGUCAUUCUAAAUCACCUGAGAGAUCAAAGAAGAGUCACAAGAAAAGUCGAAGAGGAAAUGAGUGAAGUUCCAUAUAACCACAGCUACACAUUUCCAGUGCAUCUCAAGACCUGUUUGUAGAUAUAACUGAACUUUCUUUGUUUUGUGUUAAUAAUUUUUUGUACUUUUUUCAUUUGUUCUGAUUUUGAGAUGCUAUUUGUGAUAAUUCCAUUUAACAUGUGAAUUGCAUUGUAAAGCUGUUCUACAGUUUUUGGGAUUGGGUAGAAGAUUAACAUUUCUGCAUUUGUUUUGUGAACAGGAAGAAUAUUAUUGAGUGCUUUUGAAAGUAACUUUACAAUUUUUAACAGUGAUUUUAGGUGAUGUUUUGGUUAUAAAAUAUAAAUCAAAAGUUCAUUGUUUCUUUAGUAUAUAUGGUAUACUUGAUUAUUAAAAGCAAUGGUUAUACAAAG